GACAGAGGGGGCAAGCGUUGCUCGGAAUUACUGGGCGUAAAGGGCGCGUAGGCGGGAUGGCAAGUCGGUCGUGAAAUCCCUCGGCUCAACCGAGGUACGUCGAUCGAUACUGCCGUUCUUGAGGAUUGCAGAGGAGACUGGAAUUCCCGGUGUAGCGGUGAAAUGUGUAGAGAUCGGGAGGAACACCGGUGGCGAAGGCGGGUCUCUGGGCAAUUCCUGACGCUGAGGCGCGAAAGCGUGGGGAGCAAACGGGAUUAGAUACCCCGGUAGUCCACGCUGUAAACGAUGACGACUAGGUGUGGGGGGGUUCAGUCCCUUCCGUGCCGCAGCUAACGCAUUAAGUCGUCCGCCUGGGGAGUA
rnacentral:rRNA from 1 species